GGAGAGGUGCCAGAGCUGGCCGAAUGGGCUUGAUUCGAAAUCAAGUGAGCCCGUAAGGGCUCCGAGGGUUCGAAUCCCUCCCUCUCCGCCA
rnacentral:tRNA from 1 species